UGCGCAGGCGGCUCCUUAAGUCAGAUGUGAAAGCCCCGGGCUUAACCUGGGAACUGCGUUUGAAACUGGGGAGCUGGAGUGUAAAAGAGGGGGUGGAAUUCCAGGUGUAGCAGUGAAAUGCGUAGAGAUCUGGAGGAACACCGAUGGCGAAGGCAGCCCCCUGGGCUAACACUGACGCUCAUGCACGAAAGCGUGGGAGCAAACA
rnacentral:rRNA from 1 species